GACGGAGGGUCCUAGCGUUGUUCGGAAUUACUGGGCGUAAAGGGCGCGUAGGCGGCCUGUUAAGUCGGGUGUGAAAGCCCGGGGCUCAACCCCGGAACGGCAUCCGAGACUGGCGGGCUCGAGACCGGGAGAGGAGAGUGGAAUACCCAGUGUAGAGGUGAAAUUCGUAGAUAUUGGGUGGAACACCGGUGGCGAAAGCGGCUCUCUGGCCCGGUUCUGACGCUGAGGCGCGAAAGCGUGGGGAGCAAACAGG
rnacentral:rRNA from 1 species